UUCUAAAUUCUAAGUUUGAAUUGAUUUCUAAAUUCUAACUUCAUGAAGUCAUCAAGAACCAGAAACCAUGAACGUUUCCCCUCUCUCUCUCUCUCUCUUCUUCUUCUUCUGUACUUAAAAACAGCAACUGCUAGUAAGUCUCUUCAACUGUUCAACAAACCCAACUAAACACGAUUAAGAAAUUACAAAAGUAACGAAAACUUUCCUUUUCUUUCUAAUUUCUAAUCGUUCACUUUCGAACUGUUGUUGAGUUGAAUCCAUAUUGCCAUAUUCCACCAAAGCCUAUGGUCCAUGCUUUUACUCAGUCGUAGUUGUGUUUGAAUUUUCUUCUCCCAAUCCCAAUCCCAAUCCCAAUCUCCCCUACUUCUUCUUCUUCUCUGAUACAAUUAACAGAGAGAACCCAAUAAAGCAAUCAAACUUUCUGUAUCAGUUAUCCAUCAGCCUUAGCUAUUUCCCUUUCUCUGCAAACCCUUGUUCGGGAAUUGUUUAUUCUGUGAUGGGUCGUCGUCAUAUUGAUCAUCCAAAUCCAAUUGCCCAGCUUCCGUCUCUGUUCCGACGGUAAGUGAACAGACAACGGAGUAGGAUGUUGGAAGAACAAGGGAACGACGGUGGUGUGGCCGGCGGUGGACAUCGGAAGACCUAUCUUCGUUCCGUUUCAUGGUCUGAUCGAUGGUCUCCUUCUUGUUCUAACCCUAGUUCUGGUUCCAACCCCAAACAACCCAGCAAGGCUAGGUCCUGCCUUCCUCCCCUGCAACCCCUUUCCAUCACUCGCCGCCCCGUUGAAGAGUGGCCCAUUCCCGGCUCCGACGACCUCGGCCAAUGGCCCCAUCCACCUACUCCUAGCGCCAACCGUGGUCGUCCGUCAUCCUCGUCUGCAUCAUCUUCCCCCAGACACCUUGACGGUGAUUUCCUGCUCCGCAAGGACAAGCUCGCCUUUUUCGACAAGGAAUGCUCCAGGAUCGCUGACCAUAUCUACCUCGGUAGCGACGCCGUCGCCAGGAACCGUGAGACCCUUCGCCAGAAUGGUAUUACCCAUGUCCUUAACUGUGUUGGGUUCGUGUCUCCCGAGUACUUCAAGAACGAUCUCAUCUACAAGACCUUGUGGUUGCAAGACAGCCCCUCCGAGGACAUCACCAGUAUCCUCUACGACGUCUUCGAUUACUUCGAAGAUGUACGGGAACAUGGAGGGCGUGUCCUCGUCCACUGCUGCCAGGGUGUCUCCCGUUCCACCUCCUUGGUCAUUGCCUAUCUCAUGUGGAGGGACGGCCAGAGCUUUGAGGAUGCGUUCCAUUACGUGAAGGCUGCUCGUGGGAUCACAAACCCAAACAUGGGCUUCGCCUGCCAGCUCCUGCAGUGCCAGAAGAGGGUUCACGCCGUUCCGGGCCUCCCGCCCAGCCCCAACUCUGUGCUUCGGAUGUAUCGGAUGGCCCCUCACUCUUCCUACGAUUCCCUCCAUUUGGUUCCCAAAAUGUUGAAUCAUCCAGGUGCGCUCGGCCUCGAUUCUCGUGGGGCUUUCAUCGUUCAUGUACCCUCGGCGAUUUACAUCUGGGUCGGGAAGAAUUGUACGCAAAUGAUGUUGAAUCACGCCAGUUCUGCUGCGUCUCAGGUCGUUCGUUACGAGAGAGCUCAAGGACCCAUUGUGAGAAUCGAUGAGGGGAAAGAGCCUUCAGAGUUCUGGGAUGCCCUCGCCAAUGCCCCUGUCCUUGCCGACGAUGUUGUGGGGAAGGGAAAAGAUGAAAAACAAGGAAAGGAUCAGGUUGCAGCGGCUAUCAGUCUUGGUGUGGGUAACAAGAAGGUGAGAGAAUACGAUGCUGACUACGAAAUUUUCCAUAAAGCUCUUUCCGGUGGUGUUGUUCCGCCGUUCCCCUUGUCGGCGACAGGAUCAGAGACUCAUCUUCCUGCUAGAGAAAAUGGUUGGGGAAAGCUGAGACGGAAACUUGCCAGUGGGAUUGUGAAAGAACUGUUGACAUCAUCCAAGUUGUUGAUAAAUGCCCAUAUGGGUGAUAAACCAGAUACGAUUUUCAUGGAUUCUUGCAAAGACGUUUCUGAAGAACACCCUCGCUCUCCCACUGAUUAUUGGUUGUCACCAUCCCCUCCAUGUCGUUCCCCGGAUUCCUUAUCCUGUUAUUCUAAUUCCAGCUCCACUUACAAUUCCAAGCCUCAGUCACCUUCACCAUCGCCAUCGGAAGAACACCCUCGCUCUCCCACUGAUUCUUGGUUGUCACCAUCUCCUCCAUAUCGGUCUCCGGAUUCCUUCUCCUGUUAUUCUAAUACCAGCUACAAUUCCAAGUCUCUCUUACCUUCACCAUCAGAUUCUUCUAGUUCGUUCACCUUCUCACCUGGCUCCUCUAAUUGGUCUGAUCUUUCAUUCUUGUCUUCUCAGCCUUCACCUUCAUCUUCAGAAUUUAAAGAACUAAUGGUUGUGAAGGGUCCCUCUUCCUCUCCCUCCCAUGAGGAAAAGACUUGUUUGCCAUGUACAGGGACUUUCUCCUCUCUUGCUGCUUCGAGGGUGGAAAAGGCCUGUGUACUGCCGUGUAAGGGGAAUUCUCCCUCUCUUGCAGAACGCAGAGGAAGCAGUCCUCCAUCAUUGGUGUUAUCACCAUCAGUCAACACUCUCAUGCAUUCAAAAGCCCCCAGAAAAAUAGUAAGGUCAUGGUCGUUUUCUCUCCCUGACUUAGAAGAAGAUAUGAUGAUCGAUAAUGGAUCCAACCAGUUUGAGCACAGAGAUGGUGAUGAAUCGAGUGGGAAAGAGUUGAUGUCCCAUAUUGACCUUUUUGGUGCUGGCAGUGAAAUGCAAGUAGAGUAUGAUAAAGAAUUUUGUAAUUUGCCAUUGAAUUAUUCAACCGAGGGAGAAGUAAGGCAACCUGUUCUGUACCAGUGGCCAACCAUGGAAAAGGUGGAAAUGCCUUCUUCCGGGGUCCUUGAUUCAAGAUCAGUUUUUUUUUUGCUAGCUCAAGAUGUGAAAUUAGGCGACAAGAAGCCUAAAAUUUUGUAUGUGUGGGUAGGGUGUGAUGUUCCAUUUGAGGAGGGGCAAUAUCAGUUGAUUCACAGUGAUUUGGAAGAUAAAGGGAGUUCUGUAUAUUGGGAGAAGGUUGGUCGCGUCUUCCUUAACCAUAUGGGCCUGCCUAUGGAUGUACGUAUUCAGGUAGUCAGAGACCGGAAGGAAGCCGAACAACUCAUAGAUGGUAGCAACCGUUUCUCAUUUCAACAAGUGGAAGACGACUGCCACCGCUGAGAAUCUGAGGGACAAGGAGCCCCUCCAAGCAUUGACACUGGGUUGUUAGACAGAGUUGUUUCAAGCCCUUUUCAGUUGACACUGUAUUGAUCAGGGAAUGCUAUUGGCACAUCAAUUGGCAUAAAUGGCCAAUGGCUGCAAGCAAAGAGGAAGCAGAAGGAAUUUGGUUCUACAUCAAAUUUAUUUGAUCUCUGUGCAUCAUGUUCCUUAAGUUGUCCCAGGGAAAUAUUCACAAGUAUGCUACGAAUUGUUCUAUUUGGAAUCCACAUUAAUGCUUCCCUUCCUGUAUGAACAAAUACUCUCAUCUUUUGAUAACUUGCUAGCAUCCUUCUCUUGUACAAGGGAUCUUAUUAAUCAAAAGAAAAAGUGAAUGAUGAAAUUUGGGAUGUUCUUUGGAAACUUA